AGAGAGAAGAAGGAGGAGGAACAUAUUGUAAAUAGAUCGCUUCCUCAGUAUACGCGGCUUGUAAUUUUUUCUUCUCUUUCUCUUUCUCUUUCUCUUUGUCUUUCUCCUUAUCUUUUGAGCGAUCUUUCUCUUUCUGUUCAACAGAAAAAGAAGGAGG
rnacentral:ribozyme from 13 species